rnacentral:rRNA from 1 species
GACGAACGCUGGCGGCGUGCCUAAUACAUGCAAGUUGAGCGCUGAAGGUUGGUACUUGUACCAACUGGAUGAGCAGCGAACGGGUGAGUAACGCGUGGGGAAUCUGCCUUUGAGCGGGGGACAACAUUUGGAAACGAAUGCUAAUACCGCAUAAAAACUUUAAACACAAGUUUUAAGUUUGAAAGAUGCAAUUGCAUCACUCAAAGAUGAUCCCGCGUUGUAUUAGCUAGUUGGUGAGGUAAAGGCUCACCAAGGCGAUGAUACAUAGCCGACCUGAGAGGGUGAUCGGCCACAAUGGGACUGAGACACGGCCCAAACUCCUACGGGAGGCAGCAGUAGGGAAUCUUCGGCAAUGGACGAAAGUCUGAACGAGCAACGCCGCGUGAGUGAAGAAGGUUUUCGGAUCGUAAAACUCUGUUGGUAGAGAAGAACGUUGGUGAGAGUGGAAAGCUCAUCAAGUGACGGUAACUACCCAGAAAGGGACGGCUAACUACGUG